GACGAACGCUGGCGGCGUGCUUAACACAUGCAAGUCGAACGGAAAGACCCUGCUUUUGUGGGGUUCUCGAGUGGCGAACGGGUGAGUAACACGUGAGUAACCUGCCCCUGACUUUGGGAUAACUUCAGGAAACUGGGGCUAAUACCGGAUAGGAGCUCCUGCUGCAUGGUGGGGGUUGGAAAGUUUCGGCGGUUGGGUAUGGACUCGCGACGUAUCAGCUUGUUGGUGGGGUAGUGGCUUACCAAGGCUUUGACGGGUAGCCUGCCUGUGUGGGGGAUCGGCGACAUGGGAAGGGGGACGGGGACAAGACGCCUGAGAGAGGCAGCAGACGGCAACGGGAGGCAGUGGUGGAGAGCAUGGCACAACGGGGGGGAGUGUGAUAUGGAGACGUUGCGUGCGGGAUGCACUGUUACGGGGUAAGAACCGCUUUGGCCUGUGACGAACCGUGAGUGACGGUACUGGGUAAAGAAGCACCGGCUAACUACGUG
rnacentral:rRNA from 1 species